AGACUGUCUUUGUAUUAUUCAGAUGCUGAUUUCUGUAGCAGCAGAGAUCUGAAUACAGGCCAGACUUUGGUAUUGUUAUUCCAAUUGCCCAGCUUGAGCUACGUAUUUUGUAAACACUCCCUCUCUCACCUUCUGAUUGGUUUUAACAAAAAUCUGAGGGCCUAUAGCGAAGCGGGACAGGACAGGCAAGGCUUCUGGGGAGAGACCGAACUCCAGGAACGUCAGGGGUGGGAACAUUUGCCAGCCCGACACUGAGGAAGAAGCGGGCCAGGUACUAGAGCCUGAGAGGUAACAAGCCAUAGAGCAGACAUAGAAUUAUAUAGAUAGGUAUGUGCCUGAGCGAGCAAGUGUCCUUGGAGGCCAGAGGCUUCGGAUCCCUGGAGUUGAAGUUAUACCUAAAUGUGAACACUUGGCACAGAUGCUGGGAGUCCAUCUCAGCUCCCUGCAGGAAGAGUGUGUGCUCUUGACAAGUGAGCCUCCCCAGCCUUUGUCUGGAUGUCUGAUAAAGCUGGAGUUAUGGAAUUUCUGAUAGUGAUCUUGUUCUUAUGUGACAUCACUGUGACUUAGUGCUGGUGGGCUGACGCUGACUAACUGUAAUCACUUGAUGAAGUGGUAUCUGCCAAGUUUUUCCACCACAGACUUAGUAUUUUCUGCUUUUCAUGUUCUAAACGUUAUCAUUAAACGCAGCCGGAGAGAAGGCUUCAGGGGAACUAUGGAAAUUUUGUGAACUUGUGUUGAAACCACCGCAAUAAUGAAGAAAUAUUUAGGGAAGAGCCUGUGUGAUUCUGUGACCUUGCUUUUUGGUGUCACUCACUUGUCUUAGCAUCCGUCAGAAGGCUUAGUGACAGCACUGUUCUGCAUGCUUAAUGGCAAUUUGUCUACUCUCGUCAUCCUUUCUGCACACAGUAUUUGGGAUUCACCUAUAGUUCAGCACAUCCUUUCUUCAUGGUGGAUUUACUUAUUCACCCUUGGAAUGAAUUUAUGGAAAUGUAUUUUGUGAACAAUUAUUCUGAGACUACUAAUCAAUAACUUUAUUUUUCAUUGCCCAUUGGCAUAAUGUUAUUGUGUACUAUAUAAAGUUUAUCCUUGUAUGACUCAAAUGAUAUCUAUGUCCCCAUAUCUGGUUGUGAUCAGAACGUGCAUUGUAAUGCUUAUUCUAAGAAUCUCCUAUCUCAAUGUUGUUUAAACAUUGCUCCCCAGUUAUCUCUGAUUGGUCAACAGAAAGCUGAUCAGCCAAUGAUGGGGCAGAGGAAAGGAUAGGGUUGGACUUCCAAUCCCAGUCUGUAGAGGAGAGGGAAGAAGAGAGGACCCUCCCUGGAAGAAGGACCCAGGAGUCACCAUGAGAACAUUCUGGAGAAUGUUCCAGAGAGAUCCAGAACAAUACUAAAAUGCAAAUAUCUCGGGGAUUUUGGCUGGGGCAAAGCCAGAUUAACUUAGAGGAUUGGAAUAGAUAAAUAUCUGCCCGGUUAUUCUGCCUUAAAGCUUGUUGAAAAAAAAUCUAAUAGUCUCUGUCUC
rnacentral:lncRNA from 1 species